CAAUAGCGUAUAUUUAAGUUGUUGCAGUUAAAAAGCUCGUAGUUGGAUUUCUGCUGAGAACGACCGGUCCGCCCUUUGGGUGUGUAUCUGGCUCUUUCUUGGCAUCUUCUUGGUGAACGUUGCUGCACUUGACUGUGUGGAGCGCUACCCAGGACUUUUACUUUGAGGAAAUUAGAGUGUUUCAAGCAGGCAUACGCCUUGAAUACAUUAGCAUGGAAUAAUAAGAUAGGACCUCGGUUCUAUUUUGUUGGUUUCUAGAGCUGAGGUAAUGAUUAAUAGGGAUAGUUGGGGGCAUUCGUAUUUAACUGUCAGAAGUGAAAUUCUUGGAUUUGUUAAAGACGGACUACUGCGAAAGCAUUUGCCAAGGAUGUUUNCAUUGA
rnacentral:rRNA from 1 species